AGCGAACGCUGGCGGCGUGCUUAACACAUGCAAGUCGAACGUGAAAGGGAGCAAUCCUGAGUAAAGUGGCGUACGGGUGAGUAACGCGUAGACAAUCUACCUGAGUGUCUGGAAUAACCUGCCGAAAGGCGGGCUAAUACUGGAUAGAGCGACGGAACCUGUAAGGGGUUUUUCGGGAGAGGGAGGGAGCAAUCCCCCUCGCGCUCAGAUGAGUCUGCAUCACAGCAGAGCGUUGGCGGGGUAACGGCCCACAAAGGAGAUGACGGGUAGCUGGUCUGAGAGGAUGAUCAGCCACACUGGAACUGAAACACGGUCCAGACUCCUACGGGAGGCAGCAGUGGGGAAUCUUGCGCAAUGGACGAAAGUCUGACGCAGCCACGCCGCGUGAGUGAAGAAGGCCUUCGGGUUGUAAAGCUCUGUCGGGCGGGACGAAAACCUGCCGGUGAAUAGCCGGUAGACUGACGGUACCGCCAAAGGAAGCACCGGCUAACUCUGUGCCAGCAGCCGCGGUAACAC
rnacentral:rRNA from 1 species